UACAGAGGGGGCAAGCGUUGUUCGGAAUUACUGGGCGUAAAGGGCGCGUAGGCGGCCUGUUAAGUCGAACGUGAAAUCCCCGGGCUCAACCCGGGAACUGCGUCCGAUACUGGCAGGCUUGAAUCCGGGAGAGGGAUGCGGAAUUCCAGGUGUAGCGGUGAAAUGCGUAGAUAUCUGGAGGAACACCGGUGGCGAAGGCGGCAGCCUGGACCGGCAUUGACGCUGAGGCGCGAAAGCCAGGGGAGCAAACGGG
rnacentral:rRNA from 1 species